rnacentral:lncRNA from 1 species
CUCGCCGCACGGCGCCGCGCCUCCGCUCGUGCCGCCCUCACCCCGCUGCAUCGUGCCGCGGCUUGCCCCUGCUUGUCGUGCGCCGCUGCUCGCCGUGCGGCUCUCCGGGGGGCAUGGCCCGUGAGAGCCCAUCGGCCUUUACCUCUGCAGCUUUUGGAUCGGGAAGAGAGACAGAGUUGCCAUGAUGAUGGACGCCACGUUGGCCUGAUCAGUGGACCCAUCUCGUCAGAAACGGGCUUAGACACUAGCGAGCGAGAGGUUAAACUAAUCCGGUGGUUUUUUGCAACUAAAAUGUAAACUGGUACCUAUGUGAAACCCUAGCCAAUAAUGCGAUGGUUUUCUGUAAUUUACUCCUAGCUAGUGCAACCGUGACACCACAAAUUCUCCAAUCCAAAUAGGGUCUACACUCUGAGAAAAAAAAAACACAAAACUUGUGUAUAUUUUCUAUCAAGAAACCGACAACAUGUUUAUAGAAGCUUGUAGCAAAGGGAAAACCUAAAGCCCCCAAGAGAGACAUGUGGACUACUCACUAAAGAAAACACCACUAGAGUUGC